GUCAGGCAGAGCUCCAGCCACCUGGGAGACCACAGACCACGGGGUUGGCACUGAGCCCUGGCUGCAGCAGGAAUGGACAGGAUUCUGGGAGCAUCAAUUCUGAUUCUCGGCCUUCAGAGGGCAUGGGUGAGUGGCCAACAGAAGGAUAAAGGUGACCAGCAACAGGUGAAGCAAAAUCCUCUGUAUUUAACAGUCCAGGAAGGAGAGACUUCAAUUCUGAACUGCACAUAUGAGAACAGUGCAUUUAACUAUUUUGCAUGGUACAGGCACCUCCCUAGGGGUAAAGGUCUUGAACUUCUGAUAGCCAUUCGAUCAGUUGUGAAUGAAAAUGAAGACGGAAGAUUCAAAGUACUGCUCAAGAAAAAUGACCAAGAGCUCUCUUUGCAUAUCAGGACUUCUCAGCUAGGAGACUCAGCCACCUACUUCUGUGCAGCAGGAGCACAGUGCUCCCCAGACAGCUGCAGCCUGUGCACAAACCUGCCCUCGCUGCUCUAGCAAGACCUGCCCCAGACUUGGGCUCUGAGUGAUAGAGGAUAGCUUUUCUCUAUACAAACAGUUAAAAAUGGAUAUCCAUAAAUUCACUAGUGUGGUAGUACCAUAGGGUGGUCUCUGAACUAAAUAAAAUAAAAUUA